rnacentral:tRNA from 1 species
GUUCUGAUAGUUUACAAAGAACGUUAUAUUGUGGUUAUAAAAGCGGAAUACCUCAGAACA